rnacentral:rRNA from 1 species
GACUGUAGGCUGCAACUCGCCUACACGAAGUUGGAAUUGCUAGUAAUCGUGGAUCAGCAUGCCACGGUGAAUACGUUCCCGGGUCUUGUACACACCGCCCGUCACACCAUGGGAGCUGGUAACACCCGAAGUCAGUAGUCUAACCGCAAGGAGGACGCUGCCGAAGGUGGGAUUAGCGACUGGGGUGAAGUCGUAACAAGGUACC